AAUAUUCCCGUACUUGGUGUUACUGCGAAGGGGGGACGGAGAAGGCUAUGUUGGCCGGGCGACGGUUGUCCCGGUUUAAGCGUGUAGGUGUGUGUUCCAGGUAAAUCCGGUUCACUUUAACACUGAGGCGUGAUGACGAGGCACUACGGUGCUGAAGCAACAAAUGCCCUGCUUCCAGGAAAAGCCUCUAAGCAUCAGGUAACAUCAAAUCGUACCCCAAACCGACACAGGUGGUCAGGUAGAGAAUACCAAGGCGCUUGAGAGAACUCGGGUGAAGGAACUAGGCAAAAUGGUGCCGUAACUUCGGGAGAAGGCACGCUGACACGUAGGUGAAGUGAUUUACUCAUGGAGCUGAAGUCAGUCGAAGAUACCAGCUGGCUGCAACUGUUUAUUAAAAACACAGCACUGUGCAAACACGAAAGUGGACGUAUACGGUGUGACGCCUGCCCGGUGCCGGAAGGUUAAUUGAUGGGGUCAGCGCAAGCGAAGCUCCUGAUCGAAGCCCCGGUAAACGGCGGCCGUAACUAUAACGGUCCUAAGGUAGCGAAAUUCCUUGUCGGGUAAGUUCCGACCUGCACGAAUGGCGUAAUGAUGGCCAGGCUGUCUCCACCCGAGACUCAGUGAAAUUGAACUCGCUGUGAAGAUGCAGUGUACCCGCGGCAAGACGGAAAGACCCCGUGAACCUUUACUAUAGCUUGACACUGAACAUUGAGCCUUGAUGUGUAGGAUAGGUGGGAGGCUUUGAAGUGUGGACGCCAGUCUGCAUGGAGCCGACCUUGAAAUACCACCCUUUAAUGUUUGAUGUUCUAACGUGGACCCGUGAUCCGGGUUGCGGACAGUGUCUGGUGGGUAGUUUGACUGGGGCGGUCUCCUCCUAAAGAGUAACGGAGGAGCACGAAGGUUGGCUAAUCCUGGUCGGACAUCAGGAGGUUAGUGCAAUGGCAUAAGCCAGCUUGACUGCGAGCGUGACGGCGCGAGCAGGUGCGAAAGCAGGUCAUAGUGAUCCGGUGGUUCUGAAUGGAAGGGCCAUCGCUCAACGGAUAAAAGGUACUCCGGGGAUAACAGGCUGAUACCGCCCAAGAGUUCAUAUCGACGGCGGUGUUUGGCACCUCGAUGUCGGCUCAUCACAUCCUGGGGCUGAAGUAGGUCCCAAGGGUAUGGCUGUUCGCCAUUUAAAGUGGUACGCGAGCUGGGUUUAGAACGUCGUGAGACAGUUCGGUCCCUAUCUGCCGUGGGCGCUGGAGAACUGAGGGGGGCUGCUCCUAGUACGAGAGGACCGGAGUGGACGCAUCACUGGUGUUCGGGUUGUCAUGCCAAUGGCACUGCCCGGUAGCUAAAUGCGGAAGAGAUAAGUGCUGAAAGCAUCUAAGCACGAAACUUGCCCCGAGAUGAGUUCUCCCUGAGACUUUAGGUCUCCUGAAGGAACGUUGAAGACGACGACGUUGAUAGGCCGGGUGUGUAAGCGCAGCGAUGCGUUGAGCUAACCGGUACUAAUGAACCGUGAGGCUUAACCUUACA
rnacentral:rRNA from 1 species